rnacentral:rRNA from 1 species
AUGAAGCUAAACGCAGAUGGAGCAUGGUGGGUGGUCACCGAAUAUGCCAAAGAACAUAACCACGACCUGAUAAAGAAGUUUGACCUAGGAAAAUUUCUGAGCACCCACAGAGGAUUCAGUCCUCAUGAGAAGAAAUUCAUAAAGUUGCUACAUGAUUGUAAAAUCGGUCCAUCAAGAAUGGUCCAGAUACUAUCCCUGAUCCAUAGCAAAAAUGGAAGUCUGAGUAGCAUGCCCUACAUACCAACAGACGUCACAAACCUAAACGCAAAGUACCAUAGAGAGAGCAGGUUAGCUGACGUAGAAGACACGAUCGCCUACUUCAAAGAGAAAUCAAAAGCUGAUCUUGAUUUCUUCUACAGGAUAAGAUUGGACGAUGAGGACCGUGUCAAAAACAUGCAUGUAGGAGGUCUUUUCAUUGGCAGUUCACAGGCACUGCAGACUACACAAUGCAGCGAGGGUUUCAAUGCUGUUUUGAAGCAUUACGUGAGCUUUGGCAACUCAUUGCUGCAGUUUGCCAAGCAAUAUUCAGCUUUGCAACAGAAAGUUCUGGGAUCUGAGCUACAGCAAGAAGCAAACACCGCACUCAAGCAACCUAAAUUUCUAACAUAUUUACAGAUGGAGAGGCAGAUGAGCAAGAUAUACACCAACAAGAUAUUUAACAAGUAA